UACGAAGGGAGCUAGCGUUGUUCGGAAUCACUGGGCGUAAAGCGCGCGUAGGCGGCUUUGCAAGUCAGGGGUGAAAUCCCACAGCUUAACUGUGGAACUGCCUUUGAAACUGCAAGGCUAGAAUGUGAGAAGGGAUGGCGGAAUUCCUAAUGUAGAGGUGAAAUUCGUAGAUAUUAGGAGGAACACCCGUGGCGAAGGCGGCUCACUGGUCCGGUACUGACGCUGAGGUGCGAAAGCGUGGGGAGCAAACAGG
rnacentral:rRNA from 1 species